AACGCACAUUGCGCCCGCCAGCAUUCUGGCGGGCAUGCCUGUUCGAGCGUCAUUUCAACCCUCAAGCUUCGCUUGGUGUUGGGGACCGGCACGCAACCGCCGCCCCCGAAAUACAGUGGCGGUCCCGCCGCAGCGUCCUCUGCGCAGUAAUAAAAACCUCGCAUGCGGAGCGCGGCGCGGCCACGCCCUCGGAACAAUUUCUGACGAAAAAGGUUGACCUCGGAUCAGGUAGGAAUACCCGCUGAACUUAA
rnacentral:misc_RNA from 1 species